GACAGAGGUGCCAAGCGUUAGGCGGAAUCACUGGGCUUAAAGCGUGUGUAGGCGGACGCCUAAGUACCUUGUGAAAUCCCCCGGCUCAACCGGGGAACUGCUGGGUAUACUGGGCGUCUUGGGCCAACUAGGGGCUGCCGGAACAAAUGGUGGAGCGGUGAAAUGCGUAGAUAUCAGGAGGAACACCAGUGGCGAAGGCGGUGGUCUGGGCCGAUACUGACGCUGUAGAGCGAAAGCGUGGGGAGCGAACAGG
rnacentral:rRNA from 1 species